rnacentral:lncRNA from 10 species
CUGCGUCACAAAACUUUCCACUCCGGAAACGCAGCCUCCCCGGCUGCGGCGCAGGGCCCCCGGACCCUGCGGAACCUGGGCUGAAGCGAAAAAGCCAGCGGAAGGAACCCGGGAAAAAACAAGAAACCCAUUCCAUCCUCCUUUCCAGGCCUUCGCCCGCCCGAGACCCGCCGUCUCCCGGAGGGAGGAAUUAGUGAAACUCCAUCACCUCAGUGGCUGUGUUACCAUGACUGACUGAAUUUGUGUAAUUGUUCAACCAUGAGUCUACCAGCCUUGUCAUAAGAAACAACAACAACCCACUGACAACUCAUCUGGAAAAUCACUGCUCUGUUCAAGUCAUUUACACAGCACAAGAAAUCUCCGGCAAUGUGCCCAGAAGUUCUCGGGGAUAACGGGCUCAGCUGCGAAGUUCUUCCUUGAGCAUCUGAAUUUGGUUGUGGUCAGAUGGUGGAUAAAGCUGGACUUAUCUGAAUCUUCUUUCGUCACAUGUCUGGAGUGUCUGGAGUGGCUGGAAAACAGCUUCCUCACAAGUUGGCCAAGUGGCUGGAAGUCCACCUACAAUGGGCAUGCCGUCCUGGAACAUCUCUCUUCUCUAUCUUGGAUUCGGUUCUAUGUCCCCCUAUGUUAUUGGGGACAGAAUUGUGCCCAGACAAGAAAAUGAUGUUUCCCAGCCUCCCCUGCAGCUGAGUGGGGACAACCAUUGAGAUAUUUCCUUAGAAGUUUCCAGAGCUGAAUUCUGACACGGACCAGAUAUCCCUGGAAUUCUCUCCUCAGCAGGAGGUUACUUCAAGGCUGGAGUUCACUCUCAGCUAGAGAUUGACUGCGAUUGAUUUGUGAGCUGCGUGGACUCAUGAUGGUGCUGGCCCCUUCAGCAGAUGGAACAAUAAUUCAAAAGAAGCCAUUGGAGCGAGACAUGCCACCUGGUACCUCCUAGCCCCCCGUGCCUCUUCUGCAGUCCAAGCCCCUCUUCUUAAACCAGGGCCCCCUCUCCAGAAAUUGGAAAAUGGCAAUUUUUGGAAAGGAUUCUGGCCAGCCUUUCCUUGCUAGCAACGGAUAAUGAAAUUUACUUUCUUUUUAACACACCUUGCUCUUAUUUUGGCUUCUUUCUGCAAGUGGCAAGCAACCUGACCCUCUUUCGGUUACAAGUCUCAACGAAAUGGAAUGGGAAUGAUAGUAAGAAACAGGAUUUCAGCACAAAUAUGGUCAUGUGAUUGUAGCACUCUUUUUUUUUUUUUUUUUUUUCUGAGACCGAGUCUCACUCUGUCACCCAGGCUGGAGAACAGUGGCAUGAUCUCAGCUCACUGCAACCUCCACCUCCCAGGUUCAAGUGAUUCUCGUGCCUCAGCCUCCCGAGUAGGUGGGAUUACAGGCACCCGCCAACAUGUCCGGCUAAUUUUUGUAUUUUUAGUAGAGACGGGGUUUUGCCAUGUUGGCCAGGCUGGUCUCAAACUUCUGACCUCAAGUGAUUUGCCUGCCUCAGCUUCCCAAAGUGCUGGGAUUACAAGCGUGAGCCACCG